rnacentral:rRNA from 1 species
CCUACGGGAGGCAGCAGUGGGGAAUAUUGCACAAUGGGGGAAACCCUGAUGCAGCGACGCCGCGUGAAGGAAGAAGUAUUUCGGUAUGUAAACUUCUAUCAGCAGGGAAGAAAAUGCCGGUACCUGACUAAGAAGCCCCGGCUAACUACGUUCCAGCAGCCGCGGUAAUACGUAGGGGGCCAGCGUUAUCCGGAUGUACUGGGUGUAAAGGGGGCGUAGUCGGCAGUGCAAGUCUGGAGUGAAAGGCGGGGGCUCAACCCCCGGACUGCUCUGGAGACUGUCCGGCUGGAGUGCAGGAGUGGUAAGUGGAAUGCCUAGUGUAGCGGUGAAAUGCGUAGAUAUUAGGAGGAACACCAGUGGCGAAGGCGGCUUACUGGACUAUAACUGACGUUGAGGCUCGAAAGCGUGGGGAGCAAACAGGAUUAGAUACCCCAGUAGUC